rnacentral:lncRNA from 1 species
GUUAAGGCAAAGGAGGUUUGGAUUUUAAUCUUCCCUCUGAUUUUUGCAUAGUUUUGGCACUUAUAUUUAACAACUCUGUUCUAGUUCCUAUCUCUGAACAAGGAGCUAGGUGUUAGAGUAAGCUUAUGCCAGUAAUGCUAACUAAGCACUUGUGAUCCUGAGAACAGAUGGAGAAAUGCAGCUGAGUGGCAUCAUAUGCAUUUUACUUGUUUCUCCUUUCCUCUUUACUCCUAGUCCCCACUAUCAAAAUUAAAGAUUACUGAAUCCACAUAGUCCUUUCCCAUUUAGGGCCAAUACCCAAUUUCUUCUGUAAUAUUUUCUAGUGCUUUAUCAGUCCAGUCUUAUAUGACUCAUAAAGCUUUCAUCACUUUCUUCAUGAGAUAAUUCAACAGUCUCCUAGACAACAUUACAGCAGUACAAAGGUCCUAAAAUUAAGCAAGAGAAGCUGUAUUCUAAUUUUUCCAUAAAGAAGUCCUGUGAACGAACCUGGCUCCACAACUUUUCUCUUUGAGUUUUUCAACUAAUGCCAGACGGUUAUCAAGCCUCUGUAUUAUAGCUAAAAUCUUCUUUAUCUAUUUCUUUAUUCUCACUGUCUUGUUUGAAUGCAAACGUGACUCAUGGUUAGAGUCAGAAGCUGAGUUCUAGCUGACACUGGACAAUUUUGAGUCUUGCUACACAGCCACUGAAGUGACCAAACAUUUCAAUUUAAUCCAGAUGCUGUCAGUUCUUUGUUGCAAGUUGCUAAUGCAGAGUUGAAACAUUUUUCUAACCACUCCAAUCUGAUAUCAUUUUUUUUCUCCAUUACCUGCCUAGGUCUUUCUCAUUCAAUAGCACCCUUCAUCUGGCAAAGUGAACCUUGUUGGACCAGCAGGUUAGAUUAAGCAUCAGGAGGAACAAUGCAGCAAAGAGCUCUGUAUGAC